rnacentral:rRNA from 1 species
UACGGAGGGUGCGAGCGUUGUCCGGAAUCACUGGGCGUAAAGGGCGCGUAGGCGGCUCAUGAAGGCUGUGGUGAAAGUCCGGGGCUCAACCUCGGAUCGGCCGUGGCGACUCGUGGGCUGGAGCACUGUAGAGGCGGGUGGAAUUCCGGGUGUAGCGGUGGAAUGCGUAGAGAUCCGGAAGAACACCAGUGGCGAAGGCGGCCCGCUGGGCAGUGGCUGACGCUGAUGCGCGACAGCGUGGGGAGCAAACAGG